GUAAUGUCUGGGAAACUGCCUGAUGGAGGGGGAUAACUACUGGAAACGGUGGCUAAUACCGCAUAACGUCGCAAGACCAAAGAGGGGGACCUUCGGGCCUCUUGCCAUCAGAUGUGCCCAGAUGGGAUUAGCUAGUUGGUGAGGUAACGGCUCACCAAGGCGACGAUCCCUAGCUGGUCUGAGAGGAUGACCAGCCACACUGGAACUGAGACACGGUCCAGACUCCUACGGGAGGCAGCAGUGGGGAAUAUUGCACAAUGGGCGCAAGCCUGAUGCAGCCAUGCCGCGUGUAUGAAGAAGGCCUUCGGGUUGUAAAGUACUUUCAGCGGGGAGGAAGGUGUUGUGGUUAAUAACCGCAGCAAUUGACGUUACCCGCAGAAGAAGCACCGGCUAACUCCGUGCCAGCAGCCGCGGUAAUACGGAGGGUGCAAGCGUUAAUCGGAAUUACUGGGCGUAAAGCGCACGCAGGCGGUCUGUCAAGUCGGAUGUGAAAUCCCCGGGCUCAACCUGGGAACUGCAUUCGAAACUGGCAGGCUUGAGUCUUGUAGAGGGGGGU
rnacentral:rRNA from 1 species